rnacentral:rRNA from 1 species
UGUGAUGGGGAGCGAAAUUUAGUAGCGAAGUAGCUGAUUUCACACUGUCAAGAAAAGUCUCUAUCGAGGUUAAAGGUACCCGUACCGCAAACCGACACAGGUGGGUGAGGAGAGUAUCCUAAGGCCAGCGAGAGAACGGUUGUUAAGGAACUCGGCAAAAUGACCCCGUAACUUAGGGAUAAGGGGUGCCACCAUCCGGUGGCCGCAGAGAAUAGGCUCAAGCGACUGUUUACCAAAAACAUAGGUUUCUGCUAAGUCGCAAGACGAUGUAUAGGAGCUGACGCCUGCCCGGUGCUGGAAGGUUAAGGGGAUCUGUUAGAGCAAUCGAAGCAGUGAACUUAAGCC